rnacentral:rRNA from 1 species
CCUACGGGAGACAGCAGUGAGGAAUAUUGGUCAAUGGUCGGGAGACUGAACCAGCCAAGCCGCGUGAGGGAUGAAGGUACAGAGUAUCGUAAACCUCUUUUGUCAGGGAACAAAGGCGGGGACGCGUCCCCGGAUGAGGGUACCUGAAGAAAAAGCAUCGGCUAACUCCGGGCCAGCAGCCGCGGUAAUACGGAGGAUGCGAGCGUUAUCCGGAUUUAUUGGGUUUAAAGGGUGCGCAGGCGGGCUGUUAAGUCAGCGGUAAAAGCCCGGGGCUCAACCCCGGCCCGCCGUUGAAACUGGCAGUCUCGAGUUGGAGAGAAGUAUGCGGAAUGCGCGGUGUAGCGGUGAAAUGCAUAGAUAUCGCGCAGAACUCCGAUUGCGAAGGCAGCAUGCCGGCUCCACACUGACGCUGAGGCACGAAAGCGUGGGUAUCGAACAGGAUUAGAUACCCCUGUAGUC